UGUGUGUGUGUCGCAUCCUGCGUAAUUUGCGCGUGCAUGUACGGCUGCGGUCCAGCCAGCCUCCACUUCCUGCUAUGUGUGUGUAUUGAAACCAUCGGUCUGUGGAGGCUCCACAUCAGCGUGAACGAGCACCACUCCGACCGGAGGGUCUGACGCGCCGCGCGGACACGUGCACGCGCCUCGUCCUAUAACCUAAGAACGAAUAGAGGCGUGUUCACGUGUGUUCAUAAAGACGAGCCAUGCAGGAGCCGGAGACCUCCUCUCUUCAGCCGAGGUAUCAAGUGAGUCUCUCGGGCUGGAGCGCGGACCUUCUCCCGUCCCUUUGUCUCCAGAGACGGCCACUCCGUGAGCCGACCACCGUGGUCCCGUCUCACGGAGUCCUUUAUUGCGCCUGGCUGUCGGCCCGGCAGUGGGAGCUCCUGUCCUCUCCCAGAUCCUGCAGAGUGGACUCUGCUGUUGGUGUUGGCUGUCACAUGGGGCUCCAUCUGGCAAAACACAUGCAUCACAUGCUGACAACACAACUGGGUGGGCUUCUCCUCAUGUCUGACGACUCCACUGUUAAUUGACAUGUAUUCACGUGUUUGUGCAAACAUAUAUAUACAUAUAUAAACAUAAUAUAAUAUAUUUGCACAAACAACGUUAUUAUGUUGUCGUUUCACUAACACUUCACCUUUAUACACUUUUACUUUCUGUUGUGCAACCUCUCUUUACUUUAUGUAUGUUCAUUGUGCGUAUAAAUUGUUUUUACACGUUAUGUUUCAUUCCUAUAUUUUUACUUUCACUAUUCAAUGUCUCAGUUCUAAUUCAUUCACUUGCAUGAUUUUCUUUUUUACAUAUUCAACCAGCAUUAUCGACUGGGUCUCUCUAAAUGUUGCAUAUGACAUUAAAUAACUUGAAACCUGAACGCA